GACGGAGGGUGCUAGCGUUGUUCGGAUUUACUGGGCGUAAAAGGCGCGUAGGCGGCCUUCUCAGUCGGGUGUGAAAGCCCGGGGCUCAACCCCGGAACGGCUCUCGAGACUGCAAGGCUCGAGUGCGGAAGAGGCAACUGGAAUUCCCAGUGUAGCGGUGAAAUGCGUAGAUAUUGGGAAGAACACCUGAGGCGAAGGCGGGUUGCUGGGCCGAUACUGACGCUGAGGAGCGAAAGCGUGGGGAGCGAACAGG
rnacentral:rRNA from 1 species